UUCUAUGAGACCUUUUAAUCCACCAUCUUCAAAAGUUCAUGUAAAACACUAGAAGAAUCCAUCUCUUCCUUGGAAAACACAUGCAAAACUUUUCGGCCAAUAUGAAGAGAUUGUAUCUUCAUUGAAUAUAUUAAAGAUAUCAAAAUCUUAUUAUUCAAAUUUUAAUAAAACUUUAGGAUUUUUCUUAUUUUUACACUUACAUUCUUGGAUUCGUCCUUUGUGGUAUGAAAGAU
rnacentral:lncRNA from 1 species